rnacentral:rRNA from 1 species
AAGGAUUCCCUAGUAACUGCGAGUGAAGCGGGAAAAGCUCAAAUUUAAAAUCUGGCGGCUUUUGGCUGUCCGAGUUGUAGUCUGGAGAAGUGCUUUCCGCGCUGGACCGUGUAUAAGUCUCUUGGAACAGAGCGUCAUAGAGGGUGAGAAUCCCGUCUUUGACACGGACUACCAGUGCUUUGUGAUGCGCUCUCAAAGAGUCGAGUUGUUUGGGAAUGCAGCUCAAAAUGGGUGGUGAAUUCCAUCUAAAGCUAAAUAUUGGCGAGAGACCGAUAGCGAACAAGUACCGUGAGGGAAAGAUGAAAAGCACUUUGGAAAGAGAGUUAAACAGUACGUGAAAUUGCUGAAAGGGAAACGCUUGAAGUCAGUCGCGUCGUCCGGAACUCAGCCUUGCUUUUGCUUGGUGCACUUUCCGGAUGACGGGUCAGCAUCGAUUUCGACCGUCGGAAAAGGGCUGGAGUAAUGUGGCACCUCCGGGUGUGUUAUAGACUCUGGUCGCAUACGGCGGUUGGGAUCGAGGAACGCAGCGCGCCGCAAGGCAGGGGUUCGCCCACUUUCGCGCUUAGGAUGCUGG